rnacentral:rRNA from 1 species
UACCAGCACCCCGAGUGGUCGGGACGUUUUAUUGGGCCUAAAGCAUCCGUAGCCGGUUCUACAAGUCUUCCGUUAAAUCCAACUGCUUAACAGGUGGGCUGCGGAAGAUACUAUAGAGCUAGGAGGCGGGAGAGGCAAGCGGUACUCGAUGGGUAGGGGUAAAAUCCGUUGAUCCAUUGAAGACCACCAGUGGCGAAGGCGGCUUGCCAGAACGCGCUCGACGGUGAGGGAUGAAAGCUGGGGGAGCAAAUCGG